AUUAGUCAAAUCACUAACCUGAAUUAUGCCACAAAUCUGACCCACUUGUACCUACAAAACAAUUGUAUUUCAUAUAUAGAGAACCUCAGGUCAUUAAAGAAACUGGAAAAACUGUAUCUGGGAGGCAAUUACAUUGCUGUCAUAGAAGGUUUAGAAGAAUUAGGAGAACUAAGAGAGCUUCAUGUUGAGAAUCAGAGGCUUCCCCUUGGGGAAAAGCUUCUGUUUGAUCCAAGAACUCUUCAUUCUCUGGCAAAAUCCCUCUGUAUAUUGAAUAUCAGCAAUAAUAAUAUUGAUGACAUUAGAGACUUAGAAAUACUGGAGAAUCUUAAUCAGCUCAUAGCCGUUGACAACCAACUUCUGCAUGUGAAGGAAUCUCUCUUUGAAGCAAUCUGAAAGCUUGCUGACAAAAAAUGAUGUGCAUGAACCUCACCUCUUCCAUAACCCCGAAGAAAAAGAAAAUUUGUUUGUGGAAAAUGAGUAAAUUCAGCCUCAAGUGACA
rnacentral:sRNA from 1 species